rnacentral:tRNA from 1 species
GCCACGGUGGUCUAGCGGUCAGAACACUAGCCUUGUAAGCCAGGGGUCCCGGGUUCAAUUCCCGGUGGUGCUC